rnacentral:tRNA from 1 species
GGAAAGAUGCCAGAGUGGUUGAAUGGGACGGUCUCGAAAACCGUUGAACCCGUUAGGGUUCCGAGAGUUCGAAUCUCUCUCUUUCCG